rnacentral:rRNA from 1 species
ACGCUCGACACCUACGGGAGACAGCAGUCGGGAAUAUUGCGCAAUGGAGGAAACUCUGACGCAGUGACGCCGCGUGCAGGAAGAAGGUUUUCGGAUUGUAAACUGCUUUAGACAGGGAAGAAAAAGGACAGUACCUGUAGAAUAAGCUCCGGCUAACUACGUGUCCAGCAGCCGCGGUAAUCUGAGCGGGCUGGCAAGGC